rnacentral:rRNA from 1 species
GACGAACGCUGGCGGCGUGCUUAACACAUGCAAGUCGAACGGUGAAGCGCCUUCCUUUUUGGUGGGUGUGGAUGAGUGGCGAACGGGUGAGUAACACGUGAGUAACCUGCCCCCUUCUUCUGGAUAACCGCAUGAAAGUGUGGCUAAUACGGGAUAUUCUGGGUCUGUCGCAUGAUGGGUCUGGGAAAGAUAUUGUUUCGGUGGGGGAUGGGCUCGCGGCCUAUCAGCUUGUUGGUGGGGUGAUGGCCUACCAAGGCGGUGACGGGUAGCCGGCCUGAGAGGGUGGACGGUCACACUGGGACGGAGACACGGCCCAGACUCCGACGGGAGGCAGCAGGGGGGAAUAGUGCACAAUGGGCGCAAGCCUGAUGCAGCGACGCCGCGUGAGGGAUGGAGGCCGGCGGGUUGUGAACCUCUUUCGCCAGUGAAGCAGGCCUGCCUCGUUUGUGGGUGGGUUGACGGUAGCUGGAUAAGAAGCGCCGGCUAACUACGUG